rnacentral:rRNA from 1 species
UGAGAGAAUCCUGAGGUGCUCGAGUGAUCAUGGCUAAGGAACUAGGCAAAUUAAACCUGUAACUUCGGGAAAAGGGUUGCCUCUCUUUAGCAAUAAAGAAGGUCGCAGAGAAAUGGCCCAGGCGACUGUUUAACAAAAACACAUGGCUAUGCGAAAUCGUAAGAUGAAGUAUAUGGCCUGACACCUGCCCGGUGCUGGAAGGUUAAGGGGGGAAGUUAGUCGCAAGGCGAAGCUUUGAACUGAGGCCCCAGUAAACGGCGGCCGUAACUAUAACGGUCCUAAGGUAGCGAAAUUCCUUGUCGGGUAAGUUCCGACCUGCACGAAUGGUGUAACGAUCUGGGCACUGUCUCAGCCAUGAGCUCGGUGAAAUUGUAGUCACGGUGAAGAUGCCGUGUACCCGUCACGGGACGGAAAGACCCCAUGCACCUUUACUAUAGCUUCGCAUUGACAUUGGGUAGAUGAUGUGUAGGUUAGGUGGGAGGCGUUGAUCCUGUGCCGCUAGGUAUAGGGGAGCCAACGGUGAAAUACCACCCUUUAUUUAUCUGAUGUCUAAUCCGCAAGACCUGCGGAGACAGUGCGUGGUGGGUAGUUUGACUGGGGUGGUCGCCUCCGAAAGUGUAUCGGAGGCUUUCAAAGGUAUGCUCAAUACGCUUGGUAACCGUAUGUGGAGUGCAAUAGCAUAAGCAUGCUUGACUGUGAGACUGACAAGUCGAGCAGGGUCGAAAGACGGAUAUAGUGAUCCGGUGGUUCUGUAUGGAAGGGCCAUCGCUCAAAGGAUAAAAGGUACGCUGGGAUAACAGGCUGAUCUCCCCCAAGAGCUCACAUCGACGGGGAGGUUUGGCACCUCGAUGUCGGCUCGUCACAUCCUGGGGCUGGAGAAGGUCCCAAGGGUUAGGCUGUUCGCCUAUUAAAGUGGCACGCGAGCUGGGUUCAGAACGUCGUGAGACAGUUCGGUCCCUAUCUGUGAUGGGCGUAGGAAGUUUGAGAGGAUCUGACCUUAGUACGAGAGGACCGGGUUGGACCAACCGCUGGUGUACCGGUUGUGGCGUCAGCUGCAUCGCCGGGUAGCUACGUUGGGACGAGAUAAGCGCUGAAAGCAUCUAAGCGUGAAACUCACCUCAAGAUGAGACUUCCAUUAAGGGACGUCAGAGACUAUGACGUUGAUAGGCUGCAGGUGUAAAGGCAGAAAUGUCAAAGCUGAGCAGUACUAAUUACCCAA